rnacentral:rRNA from 1 species
UGAGGAAUUUUGCGCAAUGGGAGCAAUCCUGACGCAGCAACGCCGCGUGGGUGAUGAAGGCCUUCGGGUCGUAAAGCCCUGUCAGGUGGGAAGAAUGUCCCGGGACUGAACAGGUUCCGGGAGUGACGGUACCACCAGAGGAAGCACCGGCUAACUCCGUGCCAGCAGCCGCGGUAAUACGGAGGGUGCAAGCGUUAUUCGGAAUUACUGGGCGUAAAGCGCGUGUAGGCGGUCCCGCAAGUCUGAUGGGAAAGCCCCGGGCUUAACCCGGGAAGUGCAUUGGAAGCUGUGGGACUUGAGUACUGGAGAGGAUGGGGGAAGUCCCGGUGUAGAGGUGAAAUUCGUAGAGUUCGGGAGGAAUAUCAGUGGCGAAGGCGCCCAUCUGGACGGUAACUGACGCUGAGACGCGAAAGCGUGGGGAGCAAACA